rnacentral:miRNA from 1 species
UAUAAUAUAUAUAUGUGUGUGUGUGUGUGUGUGUGUGUGUGUGUAUAUAUAUAUACACACACAUAUAUAUAUAUAUAUAUAUAAUUAUA